rnacentral:rRNA from 1 species
CAGCAGCCACGGGAAUACGUAGGUGGCAAGCGUUGUCCGGAAUGAUUGGGCGUAAAGGGCGCGCAGGCGGCUGUGUAAGUCUGUCUAGAAAGUGCGGGGCUAAACCCCGUGAGAGGAUGGAAACUGGACAGCUGAGAGUGUCGGAGAGGAAAGCGGAAUUCCUAGUGUAGCGGUGAAAUGCGUAGAUAUUAGGAGGAACACCGGUGGUGAAAGCGGCUUUCUGGACGACGACUGACGCUGAGGCGCGAAAGUCAGGGGAGCGAACGGGAUUAGAUACCCCUGUAGUCCCUGUCUCUUAUAC